UUCCAAUAUAAUGAAUGAAUACUAGUGGAGAUUGACAACCCAACUUUCCAAACCCUAAGUCCAACAUCAUUGCAUCAUUUUUCUUUACAGAAGGGUAUUUUUACCUGACAUCUAUAUCCACUCGGAUAUAUGCAACCAUUUUUUUUAUUUUGGGAACUUUAGGAAAACUUAGCCCCUCAAAUGCCCAAUCUGAAAUUCAUGCUACUAGAUUUGAACCCAGAAUCUUAGGUGCCACUCAGGUCACUAUAACCAUUAGGCUAU
rnacentral:lncRNA from 1 species